rnacentral:rRNA from 1 species
CGGCGCGCCUAACACAUGCAAGUCGAACGGUUAAAGCACCUUUUAGGUGUGUAUAAAGUGGCGAACGGCUGAGUAACACGUGGGCAACCUGCCCUCCUCUUGGGGAUAGCCUCGGGAAACCGAGGAUAAUACCCGAUACUUCAAUGUGGCCGCAUGACGACAUUGAGAAAGCUUUUGCGGAGAAGGAUGGGCCCGCGGCCUGUUAGCUUGUUGGUGGGGUAGAGGCCUACCAAGGCAAUGAUGGGUAGCUGGGUUGAGAGACCGACCAGCCAGAUUGGGACUGAGACACGGCCCAGACUCCUACGGGAGGCAGCAGUGGGGAAUCUUGCACAAUGGGCGAAAGCCUGAUACAGCGACGCCGCGUGCGGGACGAAGGCCUUCGGGUUGUAAACCGCUUUCAGCAGGGACGAGGCGAAAGUGACGGUACCUGCAGAAGAAGCCCCGGCUAACUACGUGCCAGCAGCCGCGGUAAUACGUAGGGGGCAAGCGUUAUCCGGAUUCAUUGGGCGUAAAGCGCUCGUAGGCGGUCUGUUAGGUCGGGAGUUAAAUCCGGAGGCUCAACCUCCGCCCGCUCCCGAUACCGGCAGACUUGAGUUUGGUAGGGGAAGGUGGAAUUCCUAGUGUAGCGGUGGAAUGCGCAGAUAUUAGGAAGAACACCAGUGGCGAAGGCGGCCUUCUGGGCCAUAACUGA